ACUGGCAGGCUAGAGUCUUGUAGAGGGGGGUAGAAUUCCAGGUGUAGCGGUGAAAUGCGUAGAGAUCUGGAGGAAUACCGGUGGCGAAGGCGGCCCCCUGGACAAAGACUGACGCUCAGGUGCGAAAGCGUGGGGAGCAAACAGGAUUAGAUACCCUGGUAGUCCACGCCGUAAACGAUGUCGAUUUGGAGGUUGUGCCCUUGAGGCGUGGCUUCCGGAGCUAACGCGUUAAAUCGACCGCCUGGGGAGUACGGCCGCAAGGUUAAAACUCAAAUGAAUUGACGGGGGCCCGCACAAGCGGUGGAGCAUGUGGUUUAAUUCG
rnacentral:rRNA from 1 species